UAGAAUAAGAGAUGAGCCAUAUAUUGGAGGAAGAGGGUGGAAACAGUGGUCCAGCCAAGACUGAAGUGUUCUGCCACACAUGAAGCUUUUCUAAAUUAUCCUACAUAUUUGAAACCUGACUUCCACACAUAGCCAUAUUUCACAAAGAUAUUAAAGUUUUAAAUUACCAUUGAGUAAAAUUGAUGCUCAGGAAGAUGACAUAUAUUCCUAUUUCUUCCGGUUUCUUUAGUCACUCUAGAUUAGAUUUGACUUGGUAUGAGCAUGUACUUAGACCCCCAGUGAUCUCCCCUCCUCUGAACUCUUGUGAUAUUUCCUAGAUGAGGCAACUGUUGUGACAAAAAUUC
rnacentral:lncRNA from 1 species